UACGUAGGGUGCGAGCGUUAAUCGGAAUUACUGGGCGUAAAGCGUGCGCAGGCGGUUUGAUAAGUCUGAUGUGAAAUCCCCGGGCUCAACCUGGGAACUGCGUUGGAAACUGUCAGGCUAGAGUAUGGGAGAGGGAGGUAGAAUUCCACGUGUAGCAGUGAAAUGCGUAGAGAUGUGGAGGAAUACCGAUGGCGAAGGCAGCCUCCUGGCCUGAUACUGACACUGAGGUGCGAAAGCAUGGGGAGCAAACAGGAUUAGAUACCCUGGUAGU
rnacentral:rRNA from 1 species